rfam:Chania multitudinisentens RB-25, complete genome.
GGAUCACCGCUUCAUCACGUUGCGUAUCCGGUUGAUAACGAAACACCGUCCUGCUCAGCGAUAACGUCCUGCAUGCCUGGCGUAUGCUCAUCGUAAACUGCGUGGUCAGAUAGCUGACGAGCUCACGCUUUAUCGCGGGUUUU